GCUUUAGAAAGAUGAUAGUCAUCUAUU
rnacentral:tRNA from 1 species